AUUGAACGCUGGCGGAAUGCUUUACACAUGCAAGUCGAACGGCAGCACGGGAGCUUGCUCCUGGUGGCGAGUGGCGAACGGGUGAGUAAUACAUCGGAACGUACCCUGAAGUGGGGGAUAACGUAGCGAAAGUUACGCUAAUACCGCAUAUUCUGUGAGCAGGAAAGAGGGGGAUCGCAAGACCUCUUGCUUUAGGAGCGGCCGAUGUCGGAUUAGCUAGUUGGUGAGGUAAAGGCUCACCAAGGCGACGAUCCGUAGCGGGUCUGAGAGGAUGAUCCGCCACACUGGGACUGAGACACGGCCCAGACUCCUACGGGAGGCAGCAGUGGGGAAUUUUGGACAAUGGGCGCAAGCCUGAUCCAGCCAUGCCGCGUGAGUGAAGAAGGCC
rnacentral:rRNA from 1 species